rnacentral:rRNA from 1 species
GACGAACGCUGGCGGCGUGCCUAAUACAUGCAAGUAGAACGCUGAAGGAGGAGCUUGCUUCUCUGGAUGAGUUGCGAACGGGUGAGUAACGCGUAGGUAACCUGCCUGGUAGCGGGGGAUAACUAUUGGAAACGAUAGCUAAUACCGCAUAAGAGUAGAUGUUGCAUGACAUUUGCUUAAAAGGUGCAAUUGCAUCACUACCAGAUGGACCUGCGUUGUAUUAGCUAGUUGGUGGGGUAACGGCUCACCAAGGCGACGAUACAUAGCCGACCUGAGAGGGGGAACGGCCACACGGGGCAUGAGACACGGCCCAAACCCCUACGGGGGGGAGCGGUGGGGAAUUUUCGGCAAUGGACGGAAGUUUAACCGGGCAACCCCGGGGGAGUGAAGAAGGUUUUCGGUUCGUAAAGCUCUGUUGAAAGAGAAAAACGGGUGUGAGAGUGGAAAGUUCACCCUGUGACGGUAUUUUACCAAAAAGGGACGGCUAACUACGG